CGAGCGACUGAGACGUUGAUUUGGAAUUCUGGUCACAGACCCGGAGCACAGGAGCAUGGCGGCUUGUGAAGGGUGUUCUGGCAGGGAAGGAGCAUAUCGGAGCACUUAAAACUACAAGCCGCGUACAAGCUCUUGGAACGCGGAGUCGAAACGAUUGUCGAAAAGUUUCCGUGCUGCAUUUUUCCAAGUCUCGACCACUGCGCGGAUUUGGGUCGACCUUUUUGUCAGGAUGCCGCCUGUGUACAAUCUUCUGGAAUCUCGUGACGAUUCCCAGACCUCCCGAAGACAGGAUUCUUGAUAUUGUUUAUAUCGGUGAAAACAACGAAAUGGAAUUUCAAUCGUGAUCGUUGGAAUUUGUACAGGCGCUGGAUAAAGGACUGUUACUUCAACCUAUGCACCUUGUGACCUAUGAUUCCGCAUGGUACCGACCACGAUGCUGAUCUGUUUUCUUGAGUUACGGAAACUUGACGUCUCUCCCUCGGAAAGAAAGUUGAACAGCGAGGGAGAGAAAGGCGGGGAAAUGCUACGCUUGCCACUUCUUUAAAGCUAAGCAUCUACACGUGUCAUAUAUCAAUUCCUGAAUUUAUAGACCUGAAUGCUACUCGUUUCCUCUUGUAGGUAUUACGUAAGUCUAUGAAAAAUUAAAG